AUUGGCCCGGUUGGUUGCUACUGGCCAGGGUUCAACCUCACCUGCGACCGCAGCAGCAGUCUGCCGCGGUUGUUCCUCGACAGCGAGCGCGAACUCAUUCAUGUCCAGGAGAUCUUUCUUCAAAACAACACAGUGCGCGUCCUCCAUGACGACACGAUCAAAUUGAUGACCAACAUGCCUGUCAUUAUCAUUUAUGACAGUGACUUUGACUGCGUCUUCACGGGUCUUGGAGACACGCCCUACUCACUUUCGACCAACGGCAACGAGCUCAUCCUCAUAGGGUGCAACGUUCAGGCGUCUGUUCAAGGCAGCCAGCAGGACCGAGACCCCAUCAGCGGUUGCACCUCCUUCUGCCCCGUCAACAGAUCAACCGGCAGUUACGCCUCAAGCGACAGGUACUGUUAUGGCAUCGGCUGCUGCCAGGCGCGCAUCUCCAUGUCCACGGACAACAUGCUUGCAUCGUGGAUGGUCAACACAAUCGGCGAGGACCAUGCAACGCAGGGCAAGAAUUCGUCGCGUGCGACCAUUCUGAUCGCGGAGGAAGGAUGGUUCGACCAGCGGCAGGUCUCCGACAUGCUGGCCCGAGAUUUUCAGCACCACCUUAGCGGAUUGAGAUCUGUGCUGCAUGUUCCCGUUAUUUUACAAUGGGAGGUCGUGCAAGGCUUGCCGGGGCGGCCGGCUGACGCCAAGUCACAGCAUCCGACGACGGCGACUUGUCCCGUGGAGGUAGCCAGAGGUCUCUGCAAGAGCACGCACAGCGAUUGCAAAUGUGGGAGCAGAGGCUAUUUGUGCCAGUGCAGCAAUGGCUACGUAGGCAAUCCUUACAACAAAAAGGGAUGCAAAGGUGUCCGGAAGUCCUUAAAUACAGGUAUAUACAUCAUUAUGGGAGUUGCUAUUGGGGCUGCUGUCAUACUUUCGUUCUUCAUUGCUAUCUUCAUUUCAAAGAAAAUUAAGCACCGGCGGGCACAAAUGUUGAAGCGGCAGUUCUUCUUGAAGAAUCGUGGACAGUUGCUACAACAGUUGGUAUCUCAAAGAGCCGAUAUUGCGGAAAUAAUGGUUAUAACCUUGGAAGAGAUUGAGAAGGCCACAAAUAAUUUUGAUAAAACAUGUGAGCUUGGUGGCGGAGGGCAUGGCAUGGUUUACAAAGGGAUCUUAUCGGACCUCCAUGUUGUGGCCAUCAAGAAACCAAAGAAAGUGAUUCAAAAGGAGAUUGAUGAGUUCAUUAAUGAGGUUGCAAUCCUAUCACAGAUCAACCAUAGAAAUGUAGUAAAACUAUAUGGUUGCUGCCUUGAAACAGAAGUCCCCUUGUUGGUUUAUGAGUUCAUAUCCAACGGUACACUUUAUGAGCAUCUUCAUGUUGAGGGGCCAAGAUCUUUGUCAUUGGAUGAUAGGUUGCGGAUAGCAACUGAAACAGCUAAAUCUCUAGCAUACCUUCACUCGACAGCAAAGGUGGCUGAUUUUGGUGCUUCAAGAUACAUUCCCGUGGAUAGGUCAGGAGUAACAACAAUGGUGCAAGGUACAAUUGGAUAUUUGGACCCCAUGUACUUUUAUACACAAAGGCUCACAGAGAAGAGUGAUGUUUAUAGUUUUGGUAUCAUUCUUAUAGAGCUGUUGACUAGAAAAAAGCCAUUUGCAUACAUUUUAUUGGAUGGUGAAGGCCUCGUUGCACAUUUUUCUGCUUUACUUACUGAAAGCAAUUUGUCACAAAUACUAGACCAACAAGUUAUUGAUGAAGGAGGCAAAGAAGUGGAAGAAGUCGUUGCGCUUGCUAAGGCGUUAAGAGGAAAGGAUCGUCCGACCAUGAGACAAGUAGAGUUGACAUUGGAAGGCCUUCCAGUAUCCAAGAAGAACAUGUUAGAGGCCAAGGAAUUUGAAAGGAAUGAUAUAAUGAUAAACCACCCAUGGGUUGGAGAUGAAAGAAGCAGUGAAGAAUCGACAAGACAAUAUAGCAUGGAAGAAGAGUACAUGUUAUCCUCAAGGUAUCCUCGAUAG
rnacentral:rRNA from 1 species